rnacentral:lncRNA from 1 species
CAGUAUUCAGCAAUAGCAAGAAAUCUUCACUUGCACAGUAUUGAGCAAUAGCAAGAAAUUUUCAAUUGCACAGUAUUGCGCAAUAGCAAGAAAUCUUCAAUUGCACAGUAUUGUGCAAUAGCAAAUAUUUUCAAUUGCACAGUAUUGCGCAAUAGCAAGAAAUAUCUAAUUGCACAAUAUUGUGCAAUAGCAAGAAAUUUUUAAUUGAUUGGAGUUAUCUUUCUUUGUCCAGAAUUGUAGUUGAAUCAACUUAAAUCAUUGUUUUAUACAAUAUACAAUGUAUAUUCACUUUUACUACCAACUGAUAAAUUAAAACAAUCUUUACCAUUCAGUGAUAACAAGCACCUUUUGUUACAUUUUAAUAUUUUAUGAUGUAUUUAAAUGAGUAGUUAUUGUUGCAAACUCCAUUAGAAAUUUGAAUUGAGAUCAGUUUUGGAAAAAGGGAAAGGGGAUGUGAAAAAAAAAUGGGUGUGGGGGGGGGGGGGGGGGUUAAAUUUUUCUCAUUUCAGAUUUCAUAAAUAAAAAGAAAAUUUCUUCAAACAUUUUUUUGAGAGGAUUAAUAUUCAACAGCAUAGUGAAUUGCUCAAAGGAAAAAAAAGUAUUUUAAGUUCAUUAGACCACAUUCAUUCUGUGUCAGAAACCUAUGCUGUGUCAACUAUUUAAUCACAAUCCAAAUUUAGAGCUGAAUCCAGCUUGAAUGUUGUGUCCAUACUUGCCCCAACCGUUCAGGGUUCAACCUCUGCGGUCGUAUAAAGCUGCGCCCUGCGGAGCAUCUGGUUUGAGUUAU